rnacentral:rRNA from 1 species
ACGGAGGGUGCGAGCGUUGUCCGGAAUCACUGGGCGUAAAGGGCGCGUAGGCGGUCUGCUAAGCGUGUGGUGAAAGCUCGGGGCUCAACCCUGAGUCGGCCAUGCGAACUGGUGGACUUGAGCACUGUAGAGGCAGGUGGAAUUCCGGGUGUAGCGGUGGAAUGCGUAGAGAUCCGGAAGAACACCGGUGGCGAAGGCGGCCUGCUGGGCAGUAGCUGACGCUGAGGCGCGACAGCGUGGGGAGCAAACAGGAUUAGAUACCCUGGUAGUCCACGCCGUAAACGAUGGGAACUAGGUGCUUGGGGGAGCGACCCCUCGAGUGCCGGCGCUAACGCAUUAAGUUCCCCGCCUGGGGAGUACGACCGCAAGGUUG